UACGUAGGGGGCAAGCGUUAUCCGGAUUUACUGGGUGUAAAGGGAGCGUAGGUGGCAUGUCAAGUCAGAAGUGAAAGCCCGCGGCUUAACCGCGGGACUGCUUUUGAAACUGACAGGCUGGAGUGCAGGAGAGGUAAGCGGAAUUCCUAGUGUAGCGGUGAAAUGCGUAGAUAUUAGGAGGAACACCAGUGGCGAAGGCGGCUUACUGGACUGUAACUGACACUGAGGCUCGAAAGCGUGGGGAGCAAACAGG
rnacentral:rRNA from 1 species